rnacentral:rRNA from 1 species
CAUGUUUGUGUAGGAUAGCUGGGAGGCUUUGAAACCAGGACGCCAGUUCUGGUGGAGCCAACCUUGAAAUACCAGCCUGACCUGUUUGAGGUUCUAACUUCGACCCCUUAUCGGGGUUAAGGACACUGUGUGGUGGGUAGUUUGACUGGGGCGGUCUCCUCCCAAAGCGUAACGGAGGAGCACAAAGGUGGGCUAAGCAUGGUCGGACAUCAUGCGGUUAGUGUAAUGGCACAAGCCCGCUUAACUGCGAGACAGACACGUCGAGCAGGUACGAAAGUAGGUCAUAGUGAUCCGGUGGUUCUGUAUGGAAGGGCCAUCGCUCAACGGAUAAAAGGUACGCCGGGGAUAACAGGCUGAUACUGCCCAAGAGUCCAUAUCGACGGCAGUGUUUGGCACCUCGAUGUCGGCUCAUCUCAUCCUGGGGCUGGAGCAGGUCCCAAGGGUACGGCUGUUCGCCGUUUAAAGAGGUACGUGAGCUGGGUUUAGAACGUCGUGAGACAGUUCGGU